AUUGAACGCUGGCGGCAUGCCUUACACAUGCAAGUCGAACGGCAGCGGGGGAGAAGCUUGCUUUUCCUGCCGGCGAGUGGCGAACGGGUGAGUAAUACAUCGGAACGUGCCCUGUAGUGGGGGAUAACUAGUCGAAAGAUUAGCUAAUACCGCAUACGACCUGAGGGUGAAAGUGGGGGACCGCAAGGCCUCAUGCUAUAGGAGCGGCCGAUGUCUGAUUAGCUAGUUGGUGGGGUAAAGGCCUACCAAGGCGACGAUCAGUAGCUGGUCUGAGAGGACGAGCAGCCACACUGGGACUGGGAAACGGCCCAGACUCCUACGGGAGGCAGCAGUGGGGAAUUUUGGACAAUGGGCGAAAGCCUGAUCCAGCAAUGCCGCGUGUGUGAAGAAGGCCUUCGGGUUGUAAAGCACUUUUGUCCGGAAAGAAAUGGCUCUGGUUAAUACCUGGGGUCGAUGACGGUACCGGAAGAAUAAGGACCGGCUAACUACGUGCCAGCCGCCGCAGUAA
rnacentral:rRNA from 1 species